GGAGGGGUCGCAUAGUGGUCUAGUGCGGGCGCCUGCUAAGCGCUUACACCGGGAAACUGGUGUCGAGGGUUCAAAUCCCUCCCCCUCCGCCA
rnacentral:tRNA from 1 species